GACGAACGCUGGCGGCGUGCUUAACACAUGCAAGUCGAACGGAAAGGCCCUGCUUUUGUGGGGUGCUCGAGUGGCGAACGGGUGAGUAACACGUGAGUAACAUGCCCUUGACUUUGGGAUAACUUCAGGAAACUGGGGCUAAUACAGGAUAGGAGCUCCUGCUGCAUGGUGGGGGUUGGAAAGAUUCGGCGGUUGGGGAUGGACUCGCGGCUUAUCAGCUUGUUGGGGGGGUAGUGGCUUACCAAGGCUUUGACGGGUAGCCGGCCUGAGGGGGUGGCCGGCCACAUUGGGCCUGAGAUACGGCCCAGACUCCUACGGGAGGCAGCAGUGGGGAAUAGUGCACAAUGGGCGGAAGCCUGAUGCAGCAACGCCGCGUGCGGGAUGACGGCCUUCUGGUUGUAAACCACUUUCGCCUGUGACGAAGCGUUAGUGACGGUAAUUGGUAAAGAAGCACCGGCUAACUACGUG
rnacentral:rRNA from 1 species